CCCCAGACUCCUACGGGAGGCAGCAGUGGGGAAUAUUGCACAAUGGGGGAAACCCUGAUGCAGCGACGCCGCGUGAGUGAAGAAGUAUUUCGGUAUGUAAAGCUCUAUCAGCAGGGAAGAAGUUGACGGUACCUGAGUAAGAAGCCCCGGCUAACUACGUGCCAGCAGCCGCGGUAAUACGUAGGGGGCAAGCGUUAUCCGGAUUUACUGGGUGUAAAGGGAGCGUAGACGGCAGUGCAAGUCUGAAGUGAAAGCCCCGGGCUUAACCCGGGAACUGCUUUGGAAACUGUACGGCUGGAGUGCUGGAGAGGUAAGCGGAAUUCCUAGUGUAGCGGUGAAAUGCGUAGAUAUUAGGAGGAACACCAGUGGCGAAGGCGGCUUACUGGACAGUAACUGACGUUGAGGCUCGAAAGCGUGGGGAGCAAACAGGAUUAGAUACCCUAGUA
rnacentral:rRNA from 1 species